GCCCCGGCCGGCUCCCGCCGGCUCAGACCGGUUCUCAGCGCAAACAACCGCCCCCCGCCCGCCGGGGCACCGCGGCGGCGAACCCCCGCUUAUUCCUUCAGAAACACCCGCUUUCCUCCCCACAAAACACCCACCUCUCCCUCGGAAACACCCGCUCUCCCCACCCUCCCGAAAGAGCCGGGUGAGGCGACUCCGCGGCCGCGCCGCCAUUACAGCGGCGGGCGCGCUCCGCCGGCUGAGGCGAGAGAAAGCGGCGGGGUUUCGGAGCGAGAUAAAAAUCUUAUUAUGCAACGCACAUUUUUAAUAGAUUAUUGCCGAGUCCAGGGCUGAGGUAAUGCGGGCUGUCAGCAGCUGGGGCGAGAGGCUGAGGGACAAGCGGGCUGCGGCCGCUCCCUGCCCAGGGCGCCAAGGCACCAUUUCUUCGCCAUCCGUGAGGAGAACUUUGAUAUAUCACGUUAUUUUUUUUCCACAGAAGGAUCUGUUUAUGUGGUUACACAUGCACAGCUCCUGAAGGACAGUGCCCAGCAUGAAGUUCCCACCAGUGCUGAACACGCACCGUGUGCCCCAAACACCCCCAGGGAACACAACUCUGCCACUGAGACCAACAGGACAAGACUGGAGUGACCAAGUUCUUAAAUGUCAGAAGAAUGCAGUGUCAUAGAGACCUUAAUAAUACUAUGGCCCCUCAAAAUUGGCCAUUUCCACUUAGAAGAAAGCCUAAAGAGAAUCUCCAGCUAGCUAAAAUCCUCAAGACCACGGAAACUACCGGCAAUAAUUAUUCCCAGACAAAAGAAACUGGAUAUAUCACACAGCAAGUGGGAGCACCGAACCAGGGAAAAGGGGAUGAGGCAGCUUUUGCUCACCAACAGUGUAUGAGUGGCUUAAUAUUUACAUGGCUAAAUUUCAACUGUUUUGAAAAUUAAACACUUGUGCUUUGAAAGACUUCAAGGCCAGGUGGGGUUUUGCUUCCCAAAGGAAAGCGAGGGUUAAAUGUUUGUUACUAUCUAACUGAUCGCUAAGAAACACGUAACUCUUUUCUGAUCCUUCAAAAUUAAAUAUACAAUCCACCAGAUUCCAUUACUUGCUCGACUGAGUUUGAUUUUAUUGUAUUAAUAAGAAAAAAAUGUUUUAUUUCCUCUCAGAGUAUCGUCUACUUUUCCAUUACUACAACUAGAAAUUGCCAAGAAAAUGAAAUGCUCAAGCACAGCAGACACUGCUUUUCUUCUCAUUAAAUCUUAAAACUUGGUUCCAGUGGGAUCAUAUUUAGUCCUCUCAAAUUCAGAACAGGAUUUCAUCCUGCCUCGACAUCCCAACAAUGACAUUUUAUAAAUAUUACGAGUUUCUUGGACGCCUUUCUCAUUCCACAAGGAGCAGAGAAGCACCAGUAGAGAUUUUUUCUUCUUCCCCUGCUCGAGAUUUUUUUAUUAAACCUUAAAUGUAACCAGCCCUCCUUUCAAUCCAUUUUCUCUAGGAUUUUUUUGAGACCUCUAGAAGUCUCACAGAUUUUUCUCAGCUGUAAUAAGUGUGAAAAAUCUUUGACAAAGGAUUGUCUUUAUUCAAGCAUUAAGCUCUCACUGAAAGAGGUGUUGGAAAUAAACAAGUGCUUAAAAGCAGCCUAAAAGUUGUCUUAAAUCUUCACCUGCUCUCCAGCUGAGACAGGACCUGGAUUUCUAAAUCCAAGAGGAGAAAACAAUAAUUAAAAGAAGUAAAUAAAUCCUUGCAUGACUCUUUAGACAUGAGGGGGUGGGGCAAUCAGAAGAGGAGACACUGAUUUCCUCAUCUUCUGUACACUCUCCGUGGGUGUCAGCCCAUCUCACCCUUCCAGAAGGUUCAACGUUCAAGGUAUUUUGUAAAGCCAAGCAAACACAGAGCUAUUGCAGAACCAAGGAAACGCAUCCCCAGGAAUUGCAAACUUGGAUUAUUUUCUUUUAAUUCUUCCAAGUCUACAAAUUUUGCUGUGAGGCAGCAGGGCGAGAAAUGAGAAGGCGAUAAAUCAACCUUGUGAAUGUCAGGCAGUGUCAGGGAGCAAGAAGAAACAGAGCAAUACCACUCAUCAUUUCCCAAAGUACGUUGAAGUGUCGUCUGUAAAAAGCAGCUGACCUUAAAAUCUUUUUCUCUCACUGGAGCAAAUAAGUGACCCCAUUCUCCAGGCACACAGGCAGCAAGGCCUUGUGUCCGUACAUCCCUGCUCUGCGCAGCCACCAUCUUACACAUGCUGCAUGGAUCCACCAUGGGAAACAAGGAACAGCACCAGCGUUCCCCUCAGAACCCCUGGUGCCAACUGAGCCUUGUGACAUUUCACUGCAGCUCGCUCUACCUCAGCGACCGAAGCUUCGCCAGGGAACAACUCCUCAGGCUCACACCUCAUGAAACGACCCGCACGGCCCCCGGCACA